rnacentral:rRNA from 1 species
AUUGAACGCUGGCGGCAGGCCUAACACAUGCAAGUCGAGCGAGUGGCGAACCGGUGAGUAAUAUAUUGGAACGUACCGAGUAAUGGGGGAUAACCCAUCGAAAGAUUGGCUAAUAACGCAUCUUCUUCGAGCGGCCCCUAUCGGAUUAGCUCGUUGGUGGGGUAAAGGCCUACCAAGGCGACGAUCAGUAGCGGGUCUGCGAGGAUGAUCCGCCACACUGGGACUGAGACACGGCCCAGACUCCUACGGGAGGCAGCAGUGGGGAAUUUUGGACAAUGGGCGCAAGCCUGAUCCAGCCAUGCCGCGUGUCUGAAGAAGGCCUUCGGGUUGUAAAGGACUUUGGGUAGGGAAGCGGUACCUAAAGAAUAAGCACCGGCUAACUACGUGCCAGCAGCCGCGGUAAUUC